AAUGAGUCUGUUUAUGAAGACCAUCAUGUUGCCGGCAAAACAAGGCACUCGGCAGAGCAGCUCGGCGCCUCUAAUGGGACAUUAUUUAUGUCAUUUUCCUCUAGGCGUUGGAGCCAUUACCGCCCGGGAUAGUGCUCCGUCACCCUCCACUCCCCCAGUGAUGUUCCAAUGUCACGCUGAAGGAUGUGCGCCGUGGCUUCGCGGGGAGCAAACGACUGUCAGCUCCAGGACCUGGAGAGGAAGGAGAGGGGAACCUGUACUUCACAAAGGGCUCCCACAGCCUCCAUCUGCUCUUCAAGUUAGCUGCCCCAGCUUUCCCUAGACAAAGGCCAGCCUGCAACCUCCGUCAAGUGCACCAAAUGGCAGCCACUGGUUCAGCUCAGGACGGGACCUUCAGCUCUUCACACCAUUUUACACUCAGUAAAGAGGUGGCUCAUGCAUGUAAUCCCAGCACUUGGUGAGUGGGUGGCAGGAGGAUUGCCAUGAGUUCAAGCUAGGAUACUAAGUACCAGGCCAUUGGAAAAGCACCUUUUGGGGGGCUGGAUCAGGCUUCCCUAGGAGUCAAGGACUCUAAAGUGUAGAGCCAGCUGGAUGAGGUGAGGCCAAACUCAGACACAUGGAUUGCUCCCACAUACCUGCUACCCAGGGGAUGCCCAGACAUGUGCCCCUCUGCUAACCGGCUCCUUUUCUCUCCACUUCGGUCCUUCCCAUUGCUCAGUUUGUACUGGCGCCAGCUCCCGCCUCUCUGCCUCAGGAAGCCCCAUCCUGCUGCCCUUGCACGCUUGCUGAAUGAAGCAUGCGCUUGCUGAAUGAAGCAUGGGGCCAGUUCAUGAGUUUGCCUUAGCACCCUCUGCUCUGGGGUGGAGAUGGUAACAGUCCUGGCUGCAGGAUUGCUGUGGUUCUCUGGAGACUGCAAGGGUGUCUUGUGGGUUGCAUCUGCAACUGCGGUGGUAGGGGCUGUUUUAGGACCACCGGGCUGCCUGCCUCAGCACAGUCUGCGGGGGAAUCUCAGGAGUCCCUCCCACUCCCAGGAAUCCUCUGCUGUGCUCCAUGUGGUUGGGCAAUGGGUUUAGUAGUAGUUGAUGGUUUUCUGGCACCUUUCCCUUGGCGACUCCUGAAGGUGGGGCUGAGAGUUUGGCUCUGCUGUAUACCCUGUCCUUAGCGCAGUGCCUGGAAGAAAGCCCACGCCUUGAUUUCAGUAAGCAAGCACAUGAACGAGCUCACGUUGCUCCUACCACAGCCUUGCAUCGUGAGGUCAGCUCCUUUUGUCCUUUUG
rnacentral:lncRNA from 1 species